ensembl:lncRNA
CCUGGCAAUCUAUCAUCCAUGGGGUCACAAAGAGUUGGACAUAACUGAGCGACUUCACUUCACUUCCUUGACCAAGUUUCAGUCCUCAACUGAUGAUUUAAGAAAGCUAGUAUAUAAACAGUCCAGCUCUCUUGCCCCCCGGAUGAGAAAACUAUUAGUCCAGCAGAGGGAGCAGUGUGUCACCCAGAAAAGCCUCAGCCACCCACAUACCUGAGUAUUGGACUCUGUGAGAGAGUCGUGAACUUCGCACAUUAUGGAAAAGCUGUGAUUUCUAAAUGUGGCUCUCAGGAAAUCCAACCAAUCCAUCCUAAAGGAAAUCACUCCUGAGUGUUCAUAGGAAGGACUGAUGUUGAAGCUGAAACUCCAAUACUUCGGUCACCUGAUGAGAAUAGCUGACUCAUUUGAAAAGACUCUGAUACUGGGAAAGAUUGAAGACGGGAGAAGGGAACAACAGAGGAUGAGAUGGUUGGAUGGCAUCAUCAACUCAAUAGACAUGAGUUUGGGUAAACUCCAGGAGUUGGUGAUGGACAGGGAGGCCUGGCAUGCUGCAGUCCAUGGGGUCACGAAGAGUCGGACACUACUGAGAGACUGAACUGAACUGAACUGAACUUAUGGUAUUGUAUUUCAAAGAGUUAAACCCAAAUAUAUAUGUAGGUGCAAAUAGUAACAUUUCAUUACUUCAUUAUGACAGUUCAUGUAGAGAAAUGGAGAACAUGCAAUCCUUUUGAUCUACUUUAUGGAAAUGUUGACGAGUCCCAUAUUGGUUAGAUGUGAGCUCACUUGGUUCUUAUGUUAAACUCAAAGAAUCUCAAAUCUACUUGUUAGUCUGUUUCACUGUUUCAAG